AGGGGGGGACGGGAAAUCGCCAUGUGAGUGGCGACGUAGAGGUACAUCUGCUGGUCCACCAAUGGGCCUGGUGCUUCGGCCACCGAUUUGGAAUUUUCACCCUUAAAACUGGUCUACAAUAUUGACUGCAGCCUUGGCAAAAAAAACACACCAUAACCCACUGUUAUACCCAGGCUAUGGCUUAAAAGCAGGAAUCGGCUUUGUCAGGCACAAUUGCUUUGAUGGCUUGAAUGAAAUUGUGGUUCUGAAGGUGCCCAGCAGAUGGCAGAAAUGCUGUGUCUAAACUAAAGCAGGUACCAACAUCUUUGCUGUAACAAUUUGGACUAAACAGAGUAGUCACUGGCUACUGACUGUGGAUCCAGAAUUGGCCUCUACAGUCACUUACGGACCCAUUGUUAAAACCGUUUUUAUGGAAGACAAUCUUACUCAGAUACGAGUGAUCGCCAAAGAAAGAAGAAGACAAUAUUGCAUGGAAAGCAGCAGAGAAUCUUUUGGCACCUUGAAGACGAAUGGUAUGUCUCCACGAAAUUAUUCAUUUUUUCAUGAACUAUGGAGUUGUAAACAAGUGUUGAUUAUGCUACCUCAUCUGAAAUGACUUCAGGCUACCAGCACUGGUGCUUUGUUUUGCCCUGUGGUUUAUUUUUAACCACAGAUAUGCUGAAGCUGGAAUUAAGAUUGCCGGAAGAAAUAUCAACAACCUCAGAUAUGCAGAUGACACAACCUUGAUUGCAGAAAGUGAGGAGGAAUUAAAGAACCUUUUAAUGAGGUUGAAAGAGGAGAGAGCAAAAUAUGGUCUGAAGCUCAACAUCAAAAAAUCCAAGAUCAUGGCCACUGGUCCCAUCACCUCCUGGCAAAUAGAAGGGGAAGAAAUGGAGACAGUGAGAGAUUUUACUUUCUUGGGCUCCUUGAUCACUGCAGAUGGUGACAGCAGUCACGAAAUUAAAAGACGCCUGCUUCUUGGGAGAAAAGCAAUGACAAACCUAGACAGCAUCUUAAAAAGCAGAGACAUCACCUUGCCUACAAAGGUCCGUAUAGUUAAAGCUAUGGUUUUCCCAGUAGUGAUGUAUGGAAGUAAGAGCUGGACCAUAAAGAAGGCUGAUCGCCGAAGAAUUGAUGCUUUUGAAUUAUGGUGCUGGAGGAGACUCUUGAGAGUCCCAUGGACUGCAAGAAGAUCAAACCUAUCCAUUCUUAAGGAAAUCAGCCCUGAGUGCUCACUGGAAGGACAGAUCGUGAAGCUGAGGCUCCAAUACUUUGGCCACCUCAUGAGAAGAGAAGAAUCCUUGGGAAAGACCCUGAUGUUGGGAAAGAUUGAGGGCACUAGGAGAAGGGGACGACAGAGGACGAGAUGGUUGGACAGUGUUCUCGAAGCUACGAACAUGAGUUUGACCAAACUGCGGGAGGCAGUGGAAGACAGGAGUGCCUGGCGUGCUAUGGUCCAUGGGGUCACGAAGAGUCGGACACGACUAAACGACUAAACAACAACAACAAUGCUGAACCUCAGCUCUCUCUCCUCAAAAUAAAUAUUCUGAUCCCUUUGUAAGCUUGGGACAUUGACAGUGCUUCCACUUGCCACAUGAAGAUGUGUUGUUUUUGCUUACAAACCAUGCUAAGAAGCUUUUGUAGCUCCUAGGAUGGAACCAGCAAAGCAGCCUAGACCAUACCGGAGUACCAUUUACCUUAGCAGUGACUGUUUUGAAGUUUGAAGCCUGCAACCAGAUCAUUUUAACUGGACCUCCUGCAUAAUUCAAAGCAUUUUCUACACCAAUGAAUUAUGGUCCAUCCAGUUGAAAGGUAAGGCUUAUCAGAGUGAUGGGGGCUACAGUCAAUCCCAUUCUUCCCUAAAAAGCCAUCAGUUUCUGCCAUACCAAGGAAGUCUCCAAAAUUUGUUGACAACUUGGGUAAGCCCCACCAGUGUGUGUCUCUUAAGGGAUGGUGGAGGCAGUAGCUAAAGAAUUUCUUCCUUGGAGCCUGGUGCAGAGUGAAAAUUGGCUUGGUGGCUGGGAGUUAUAGUCCUACAACACCUGGAGGGCACAUUGACUACUCCUGAUAUUUCCAUUGGGUGCUUUAUAAGAAAAGUCUAUAACCAUACCGAGCAGUGGUUAUCGCAUUAUCUGUGUGCAAACCUGUUGCAACUCUUUUAAUCACAGACUUGACUUAUCUCAGCAUCUCUCUGUGUUCACUAGGUUGCCAGGGGGCAAGCCGGGGAUCUACGAGAGGUAGGAAGGAUUGGUAUGUGCAGAAAAAUGGAGGGAAGAUGUUUAAACAGCAAUACAAGUCAAACCUGAACUGCCAGCUUUAUCAGGCUUGACCAUCACUAGACCGAAUACAAUCCGGCAACACUUGACAUACGCCAAGUAUUUGGAUACAGGCUGUUACUCAACUUGCAGGAAGACUAUGGACAUAUGAAGAGGCUGCCAAGGUCCUCACAGUGACCGACAAGUUGCCUGUGGUUUCCAUCAGCUAGGGGCAGAGGGUUUGCAUCAUGGCUAGUAGCCUUAUGAUACACAAACUUGUCCAGUCCUCACAUUUCUCUGCCUUUGACUUGGCCCUUCCUCUAGUGCAGUGAUGGUCAAACUUCGCCCUCCCAUCACCCCUAGCUAACAGGACCAGUGGUCAGGGAUGAUGGGAAUUGUAGUCCCAGAACAGCUGAAGGGCCAAGUUUGGCCACCACUGCUCUAGUGUCAAGAGAAAAUAACAGCAGCAUAUCUGCAAAGGCAUUGCAUCUGCAAGGGGAGCUCAGCUCAGGAGUCUGCGAUUCCCUACUGAGCCCCAAGUCUCCCAACAAAGGAAAACAGGGAAAGUGUCAAUACCAAAUUCACUGAUAAAUGUAUCUACAUAGUGGCUCAAUGGGAAUACCUUAGGAAUUCAUAAGAAAUCAUUCGUCGUAUCAAUCUUCUGAGUUCCAAUGGCAUUUAGGACCCAGGGAAGUGAGGUAUAAGGGGAGGAGUGAGAGAGCCUACCAUAAUCCCCGAGAUGUACAGUCAUGUCUGCCUGGCCUUCCCAAGGAGUCAUGACUGGUGAUGUCCUGCCCCAAGAGUGCUAGACAGAUAACCAUCUCAAUCACAAUGCCUACCUACCCGGUCAAGACAAAGGGGUGUAUUUGACUCGACUCAGGAACCUGGAAACUCUAAAUGCUUUCCUUUGUACUGUUCCUUUGGUAUCUGAAGAAGUGUGCAUGCACACGAAAGCUCAUACCAAAAUAAAAACUUAGUUGGUCUUUAAGGUGCUACUGAAUGAAUUUUUUUUUUCCUUUGUACUGUUAUGGAGUAAAUGUGAAAGACUACAUUUGAGUGACAGGGGCAUGCCUGGAUCUCAGGUUCUACCUGAGACCACACCUUUGCUGUGACAUAACUAUGUUUUGAUGAUGCAUCCUGAGAUGUAUUAUGGGAAACUUCGGAAAGCUUUGAAAUACGGAUGUAAUCCAUUGAUCGGGGCUUCUUCUACGUUGUAGUUGGGAGCCUUGUUGCAACAAUAAAGAUCAGGCUUCCUGGCCGCUGGUUUGCUUCAAUUUCUUGGCUGUAGUCUUGUUUGACCUUCCAGCCUAAGCCUGCGGAACUCACUGCUGCAUUCUUUCAAAGUCAUCCAAGUUGGUGGCCAUCAUCGUCUCUUAUGGCAGCAAGUUCCAUAGUUUAAC